UCGCUGGGCUAAGCCGACCCCAUGCAGACGUCAAACCCCCCUAGGUCGGCACAGCCUCUCUGCGGGGAGGCUUAGUGCCCCCUUGAGAAACGGCUUGGCAACGCUGUGCCCGGGGCCUUGCACGCGGGCUGAGGGGGCUAGAGACCUCGCGACUUUUACUCCCCCGACCCCGAUCUCCGACUCCUGACUUUGGAAGCCCCCAAAGCUGCUUUUCGGUUGCCUACAAAGUGUCGGUCAUUGUGCCACGUCCUUGGAACCGUGAACUCAUUUUCUCCUCAAUAACCUUUAAAAAGUAGCUGUAAAACCUCCAUUUUACAGACCAGUUGGCUGAGGUUUAAAUGGAGGACGCUCCCAGGGCCCCAGAGGGGCGAAUUCCAGACUCCUUUGCCAGGACCUUGUACUAAGCCCCUUCCCUACGCUUUUCCCUGCCUAGGCCUCGUGGGCUGUGCGGCUAUCCUGGAGACAGAUGACAGCUCUCCCUUGGAUGGCUUUGCUGGUUCCGCACCAGCCAGCGCCCCCAUUUUUCCUGCAGCACCCUGAUCUGCACUCCCUGAGGGGCUCCCACUGUCCGCGGUGUGAGGAUGUCCCUGGAAAUUGGUCUUCUGUGACUUUCUUGAUGGGGGCAGAUGAGAUCUUUGUACUGCAUUAAGUGGAUAGCGCUCAGGUCCUUUGGGCUUGGCGCUUUGGCAAUCUCCAGGCAGCUCACUUUGGCCUCUGUUCCUGGAUCCCCUUUGCUCUUUUCUGCGCCUGCAUUCUCCACUGUGUGCAGAGGCAUGGGAGUUGUCAUGUUGGGAACAUGCUAGACCUCAGUAUCCUUGAGGGAUGCUGCCUUGGGUCUGGAAACUGUUAGAGGAAACCCCAAGAGGUGCAGGCACUGAGCCUCUCAGGACAAUGACCUGGGGUCCCAGCUCCCCUGGAGGGGCCUCCUCAUGAUUGUUUGGGGGUUGAUCACAGACCAAGAGUGACGAGUGAUGUCACCCUGUGACUCAUGGCUGGACCUUCUUGCCCCUAUUGUCUCAGCACAACAUUAUUCGACUUUUCCCUCAGCGUGGGUGGGCAGAGGAAAAGCCCUGUGGCUCUGGGGACUUGGGAUCCAGAGUUGAAGACCCUUCAGCUGGCUCUGCCCUGCCAGUGCCACAGAGUGCCAUGGCCCAGGAAGACAGGUUUUCUUCCAUCUAGGCCAGGCCAUCCAGUGGCCAUCCUCCGUGUCCUCCCGCCUCCUCCUGGUGUGACUUCUGAAAACCAAGAAUUUGUUCCUGUUGACUUUUUCUGUGCUAUGG
rnacentral:lncRNA from 1 species